rnacentral:lncRNA from 1 species
GCUUUAACACAAGUGUGAAUGAAUGAUGUUGAUAAUAUGAGAUGAUUAUGUUGUUGGGGUUUAGAUUUCAUCUAAUCACUUUCAUGCAUAUAAAAAUUCAUCUUCUUCAUUAAAUUAUUAACGUCAUUAUCUAAAUUACUUAAAACUCGAUCCCUCAGUGAAGAAAGUCUAUCCUUAAUCAUUAGACCAUAAUCCCUUGCAUCCCUAAUAAUUAAUUUUGCAUUACGAAAAGAAGCUUAAGACAACCA